rnacentral:rRNA from 1 species
UGGGGAAUAUUGCACAAUGGGGGAAACCCUGAUGCAGCGACGCCGCGUGAGCGAUGAAGUAUUUCGGUAUGUAAAGCUCUAUCAGCAGGGAAGAAAAUGAC